AGACUCAUCCCAAUUGCCAUCCCAAUUUACAUAUGAAUAUCCUUUCAACUUUAAGUCCCCUCCUUAAUAAUAGAGGAUUAGGUCACUUGUUCCAUGAAGGUAGUGCAAGAUUCUUCUGACACAACAUGACAUACAUCAAACUGUCUACUACACUAGCAUAAGGAACGUUGUCCAUUCCUUUGGAUGCUAGGACCUUCAUCACCUAACCUGACUAGAUGAUGAAGACUAACCUCAUGUUCCAAGCUCAGAGCUUGAGGACUAACCCUAUUUUCUGGUGGAUUAUCAAUUGUAGGCAAGUUUUCACCAUCUAGAAUAAUAGGAUCACUCCCACUAUCUCUUUUAUUUGGUGUAAUAUCACUAUUUUUGUGACUUGGUAGGUUU
rnacentral:lncRNA from 1 species